GCGGGAGUGGCGGAGCUGGCAGACGCGCGGGAUUUAGGUUCCCGUGCCCGAAAGGGCGCAGGGGUUCGAACCCCCUCUCCCGCACCA
rnacentral:tRNA from 1 species